GAUGCAGCACGCCGCGUGGGAGGAUGACGCAUUUCGGUGUGUAAACUCUUUUAUAUGGGAAGAUAAUGACGGUACCAUAUGAAUAAGCACCGGCUAACUCCGUGCCAGCAGCCGCGGUAAUACGGAGGGUGCAAGCGUUACUCGGAAUCACUGGGCGUAAAGCGCGCGCAGGCGGCUAUUUAAGUUGGAUGUGAAAGCGUACGGCUCAACCGUAGAACUGCAUCCAAAACUAUUUAGCUAGAGUGUGGGAGAGGAAGAUGGAAUUAGUUGUGUAGGGGUAAAAUCCGUAGAGAUAACUAGGAAUACCAAAAGCGAAGGCAAUCUUCUGGAACACUACUGACGCUGAGGCGCGAAAGCGUGGGGAGCAAACAGGAUUAGAUACCCUGGUAGUCCACGCAGUAAACGAUGAAUGUUAGUCGUCGGGUAGCUAGUCUAUUCGGUGAUGCAGCUAACGCAUUAAACAUUCCGCCUGGGGAGUACGGUCGCAAGAUUAAAACUCAAAGGAAUAGACGGGGACCCGCACAAGUGGUGGAGCAUGUGGUUUAAUUCGAAGAUACGCGAAGAACCUUACCUAGCCUUGACAUAUAUUAGAACUCCGCAGAGAUGCAGAGGUGCCUUCGGGAGCUUUUAUACAGGUGCUGCACGGCUGUCGUCAGCUCGUGUCGUGAGAUGUUGGGUUAAGUCCCGCAACGAGCGCAACCCUCGUCACUAGUUACUAACGGUUCGGCCGAGGACUCUAGUGAGACUGCCUUCGUAAGGAGGAGGAAGGUGAGGACGACGUCAAGUCAUCAUGGCCCUUACGGCUAGGGCAACACACGUGCUACAAUGGUUGGGACAAUGAGACGCAAUACCGCGAGGUGGAGCAAAUCUAUAAACCCAAUCUCAGUUCGGAUUGUUCUCUGCAACUCGAGAACAUGAAGCUGGAAUCACUAGUAAUCGUAGAUCAGCUAUGCUACGGUGAAUACGUUCCCGGGUCUUGUACUCACCGCCCGUCACACCAUGGGAGUUGAUUUCACCCGAAGCGGGGAAGCUAAACUGGCUACC
rnacentral:rRNA from 1 species